rnacentral:tRNA from 1 species
UAUUUGAAAGCGAAGUAUUGCGCUAAGUUUCGGCCUUAGUAUUGGGAAAUUUCCCUCAAAUAU